GACAUACUUCAGUUACAAGUUUUCAAGAGGUAAAACUUUGAUAGAAUUAAAUAUGAAUUGAAGUAUUGUUGUGCUUUAGUUUACUAUUUUGAUAACUAAGAUAAAUUUACACAAUAUGAUCUAGUCCCAUUUCGCUUCAAUCUUUUCUUCAUCUAACAUACUAUGUAAACUUUUUCAUUGCUCCAUAGCCACGAACUCAACAUAAGGCACUGCAUCUGAUAUACCCUCGGCUCAUCAUAAAAAUAACCAUAGCAGAAAUACAAGAAAUAAUUGAUAGUAACAAACCAAUAAAAUUAUAUCAGAAAGUGUAAUUAAAGAAGGAAGUAAUGGUACAUACCUUUGUCAAAAAGUACAAAAUUCGUCGAACUUUAUCUUCAAUGGUGUCACCUCUUACACCAACAGGACAACAAAUCAUUGUUACACCUAACAAAGGGUAUUUACUAUGGGUCAACAUAACUUAGAUCCAAAUCAAAUCAGAUUAGAUCUACUUGAUUACAGUAGCAUCAUUGGUAAUCCACUUUAUAGAAUCACUUGAAUCAUGGAUCUCAACACAAAGUGCUAAUCCAGUCAUCUUCCCAUCCAAUCUACAAUAGCAUAAGGAAGUUCGUAUUUGUUUCUAAAUAAUCCAUAGCUAACAAUUUUUUUGAUAAUUCAUUUCUAAUUUAUUUUUGGUGCCAAAAAUCUCUCAUAACAAAUCUAUUCCGGGACAUAAGCCUUGAAAUCAUUUGGUUGAUGCAAACAUCUCGAGAAUAGCCUCCAUGUCUCUGUGAGUUAGAGAUAACAUUUGUGUAUACACUAUCUUUAUAAGACCCUCUUUUGAGAUUCACCUCAAAAAAAUUCAAAGAAUUCCAAAUCCUUUUAGUCACAAGUGUUUUGCAAAAAAAUGUCAUACAAGUUGUUGUACUUUCUUGUUUCUUGGGAAAAUGAAUUCAACCAUAGCCUUUUUCUUGAGACCACUUGAUGCCAUAAAUUUUUCCCUCAUCAAAUGAGGUUAAUUCUAUUAGCAUUUGAUUGUUGAACUGGCUUUAAAAAAACUCUAGCUCCUUCUUCCAAACAUCUAUUGAUUCUUGAUGAAAUAUUUUUUGAUGACGUAAUAUUACUGGUAUGUCCUUCAAAUAUAUUGAUAUACU
rnacentral:lncRNA from 1 species